GUGCUCGGUGGCUCAGAUGGAUAGAGCGUCUGCCAUGUAAGCAGGAGAUCCUGGGUUCGAGUCCCAGUCGGGGCA
rnacentral:tRNA from 1 species